rnacentral:rRNA from 1 species
GAUGAACGCUAUCUACAGGCUUAACACAUGCAAGUCGAGGGGUAACGAGAGGGAAGCUUGCUUUCCUUGUCGACGACCGGCGCACGGGUGAGUAACGCGUAUCCAACCUGCCCCCAACUAGGGAAUAACCUUGCGAAAGUAAGACUAAUACCCUAUAAUUUCCUCAGAUGACAUCUGACGAGGAAUAAAGAUUUAUCGGUUGUGGAUGGGGAUGCGUCUGAUUAGCUUGUUGGCGGGGUAACGGCCCACCAAGGCAACGAUCAGUAGGGGUUCUGAGAGGAAGGUCCCCAACAUUGGAACUGAGACACGGGCCAAACUCCUACGGGAGGCAGCAGUGAGGAAUAUUGGUCAAUGGGCGGAAGCCUGAACCAGCCAAGUAGCGUGCAGGAUGACGGCCCUAUGGGUUGUAAACUGCUUUUAUACAGGAAUAAAGUUAGCCACGUGUGGUUAUUUGUAGGUACUGUAUGAAUAAGGACCGGCUAAUUCCGUGCCAGCAGCAGCCGCAG